rnacentral:rRNA from 1 species
AAUGAACGUUGGCGGCGUGGAUUAGGCAUGCAAGUCGAGGGAGAACCCGCAAGGGGGACACCGGCGAACGGGGUAGGAUCACGUAGGUGACGUACCCUCAGGGCGAGGAUAGCCACGGGAAACUGUGGGUAAUACUCGAUAACCUUCUCGAAUGUGAUGGUUUGAGAAGCAAUGGGUGUGAUUCCACCUGAGGAGCGGCUUACGCAGUAUCAGCUAGUUGGUGAGGUAACGGCUCACCAAGGCUUUGACGCUUAGGGGGUGUGAGAGCAUGGCCCCCACCACUGGCACUGAGACACUGGCCAGACACCUACGGGUGGCUGCAGUCGAGAAUCUUCGGCAAUGGACGAAAGUACUGACCGAGCGACGCCGCGUGCGGGAGUG